rnacentral:lncRNA from 1 species
UGACGGCAGCUUGGCGCGGGCGUCGGGGCCGCCGGAGUUGGCCCCUCCGGUGGUAGCGCGGGGAGGCACGGCGCGGAAGGGAGGAGGCGGGCGACAGGAGGCUGCAGGGGCGACGCGCUCGGGGAGGGAGAGUGGGGAUCGGGAACGAGGGGGAUGGAGCUCGCGGCGGCCAUUGACACCCAGUGCAUUGGGAUGGAUGCAGGAGAGGUGCGUGCGUGCUUGCUUGCUGACCACCAUGGUUCUGUCUCUAUUCUUUGUCCUGUAAGUGCUGGUGUUGCUUCUUCAGAUAAGUGGCAUGGAAGUGUUGGUGUUGCUUCUUCGAUCUGCUGUAGCCCAAGGAGUAAGAGGUCCUGGUGCUGGAGGAUGCACAUGGCAAGACCAAUCUCAAGGGCCUCUCCAAGGUUUACUCUGCUCUAACAAAUCAGCCUCUUUUCAAAUUACACAGAGAAUUGCAGAAAAGUUAUGUUUGUUGUGUGUAUCACAAAUUCAGUUUUAGUUCCAGUGAAGUUUCUUGUCCUUUAGGUUUAUUCUUAUCAAAAAAAAAUUCAACUAACCAGCCUCUAGAGCAUGUAGUUUCCCAAUAAUCUUAUCUGGCACUUCUUUGGAUCUGUUAAUAAGCAGACACCUCAAUUUUGUAAGCUUAACAAUACUGGAUGGUAGCUCUUUUACACCAGUUGCCCUCAAAUCCAGCAUCUGCAGACGGUGUAGUUCAAUUAAGUAUCUUGCAGUUGUUCAAACAUUCUGAAAAAUAAUGAAAUGUAAAGACUUAGUUCUGCUGGCCUGAGGAUUAUAAUCAAAGACUAGCUUAACAAUUGAUGGAACAUGUCAAUUACACAGCAGUUUAUAGUCAGGAAAAAUAUGACAUGGUCUUACUUUCACUAGUUCAUUCAGGAGAGGCAAAUGGGGUCUUCCAAAGAUUGGAUGACAUAACUAGACAAGCAUAUAGAUUAGCAAAGGCCUUGCUUGCCAAGAGAUAAUCAAUCUCG